UCGUCGCAAAACAAAAGUAACGUAAAUUAAGAACGUGGAGUAAUGAGUGGGAUUCUAUGUUUUCACGUGCAAAAGUGAUUGCUUUUGAUAUAAAUGCUUUAUCUGCCUCCCCAAUGAAAACUAGUUUGAAACCUCGAACAAAUACUGAGUGUAAAAAAACAUUAGCAACACCUGCAGUUUUCAUCACAUAGACUGACCAGGUGAAAGCAAUAAUCCCUUAUUGAUGUCACUUGUUAAAUCCACUUCAAUCAGUUUAGAUGAACCGGAGGAGACAAAUUAAAGGAUUUUUAUGCCUUGAGAAAAUUAAGACAUGGAUUGUGUGCUAUUCUGAGGGUGAAUGGGUAAGACAAAAAAAUCUUGUCUUACAACAAGACGGUGAUGGCGAUAAUGCGGGGAGAGAAUCUCACCGGGUUCUACAGGAUGCUGCAAAUACAACAGAAUGAGACUUGGAUGACUCGCAUCAUGGAAUACAUCUCUGUAUGUGAGAAUUGUUUUGCCAACUGAUGCCACGCCACCAUCAGCGAUGCUGUGUCAGGUACUGCAGGAUUCCUGGGUCUCUGACAAUACUGAUGAUAGGGUUGAGUCGGGUGACUCCCACCCAGAUGAAGAGAAUCAGGAGGAGUUUCACUCUUUCUAUGACUGCACAGUCUUCCCCUUCAUGCUGAUGCCCCAUAAUGGCUAAGGCAAGAGGAGUGCCUUUAGGAGUAAAGAGUAAAACAUGAAUGCUAUAUUUGGAGGAGUUCUUCCUGCCAGGUUCCAUGUACUGUCUGGGUGAGUUUGAGAUCGACUGCAUUGCUGUUGAUCUGCUCAGAAUAACUAUUCUACAAGUCACUUUGCAUUCCAAAUAACUACUCAUUAUGUGAUCAGGACUAGUGAUUCUGUGCCUUGCCUUGCCUUGCUCAAAAUGAUCCCUUCAAACAUGCUAAUUAUCUCCAGUUUAGUCCUGCUCCAACUCUUGAACUUUCUUUGAAACAUUGGGACCCCUCUCCCUUAGCAAAGUGCCCUCCCUUCAAUACUGUUACUUUCAAGAACUAGAAGUGUCAUACAUUGUGUACUGGUAUGCAUAAAUAGUUAGUUUUACUCUGUUCACUCUUUGUUACAUGACCUUUGUUUAGUUCAGUAUCAGCAGUCCUUUGGAUUGUUGUGUUUAGAUGGUAAUGUUUGACCUGUAUAAUUUCAAUGUAUUGGCAUGAAGACAGAACUCUGACCCAUAAUCAGGCUCAAUAUUCUAUGUAGUGUGUUUAAACAACCUGUCUCCAUGGACAGGAAGUAAGAAGAGGGUUGAACAUUAAAUCUGUCAUUCUUUUAUACCAACAUAUACUUUUUCAAACCAGAUUUGACCAACCAUAGACCAAAAACCAAAUAUAUCCAAUUGGAUCAAACCAACGUUCACUAAGAUGGGUCACACCUUACUGCAGGGGCAGAGCUGGCCAGUAUUUGAAAUAGAUGGAGACCUGCACACACUGUCCAAAACUGAGGCUUGAAUGCUAAACAAAGAUAUUUAUGAUAACAUCAUGGUGCCCAAAAAAUCAUAGUGCAUAAAUGAAAGGUGAAAACUCAACACAAAUGUUUCGGUCUCAGGUGAAAUGAGUGUGUUCAGCAGCUCUGCCAAUGGCAAACAAUACACUACCCAACAGUUCCUCGCAUGCAGCUCUUCUAGCGUCAUAUACCUUAUCUCCUGUCCAUGCAAUAAGCAAUACGUGGGCAAAACCAGUAGACAGAUAACACGUAUUAUAGAACACAAGAGUGCUGUAAGGAGAAAUGACCCUAAAUCCCCUAUUGGAUGUAAUUUCUCAAAGGCCGGUCUCAUCUCCGUGUCCUUCUGCGCUAUACAGCAGAUAAAACAUUCACGUAGGGGUGGUAAUCUGGAACUCAGUCUUCUCCAGACAGAACAUGCACCUGCAUUCUAUUUACAAACUCUCCACCCAUCGGGCUUGAGUGAAGAAUUGUUAUUGAAGUGUUUUCUCUAAGUGGUAUAUUGCCUCUUAUUGGUGUUUGCUACCUCCAUCUAGUGGUAUCUCUAACUCCCUACUCUUACCACCCUGUGUUAUUUAUUCUGAGGACAUUUUCACAUGGUACAUGUUAACGCAGUAAUUGAGGAUAUUUAUCUGUCCGCUUUUGUAUGUAUUUGUAUAUAAUCUAGAUCAUGCAUUCUAUUCUACUAGUGUGAUUCAUAGUAUGUGUUUCCUUGCUUGAUCAUGUGACACGCAAUUAUCCUUACGUUCACAUCUGAUAAUGGCCUACGGCUGAAACUUUUGUUUUCACCUUUCAUUUAUGCAUUUUCUUGCACCAUGAUUUUUUGGGGGGCAUGCACCAUGAUGGUUUAAUAAACAUCUUUAUUUUGC